rnacentral:rRNA from 1 species
AGAGUUUGAUCAUGGCUCAGAACGUACGCUGGCGGCACGCCUAAUACAUGCAAGUCGAACGAAGUAGCAAUACUUAGUGGCAGACGGGUGAGUAACAUGUAGGUAUCUGCCCUUUGGCCUGGAAUAACACGAGGAAACUUGUGCUAAUACCGGAUAAGUCUUUACGGAGAAAGCUUUAUGCACCAUUGGAUGAGCCUGCACUUGAUUAGUUUGUUGGUGGGGUAAUGGCCUACCAAGACAAUGAUCAAUAGCUGAUUUGAGAGGAUGAUCAGCCACAUUGGGACUGAGACACGGCCCAAACUCCUACGGGAGGCAGCAGUAGGGAAUCUUGCACAAUGGAGGAAACUCUGAUGCAGCGAUGCCGCGUGAGUGAAGAAGGCCUUUGGGUUGUAAAGCUCUUUCGUCGGGGAAGAAAAUGACUGUACCCGAAUAAGAAGGUCCGGCUAACUUCGUGCCAGCAGCCGCGGUAAUACGAAGGGACCUAGCGUAGUUCGGAAUUACUGGGCUUAAAGAGUUCGUAGGUGGUUAAAAAAGUUGGUGGUGAAAUCCCAGAGCUUAACUCUGGAACUGCCAUCAAAACUUUUUAGCUAGAGUAUGAUAGAGGAAAGCAGAAUUUCUAGUGUAGAGGUGAAAUUCGUAGAUAUUAGAAAGAAUACCGAUUGCGAAGGCAGCUUUCUGGAUCAUUACUGACACUGAGGAACGAAAGCAUGGGUAGCGAAGAGGAUUAGAUACCCUCGUAGUCCAUGCCGUAAACGAUGUGUGUUAGACGUUGGAAAUUUAUUUUCAGUGUCGCAGCGAAAGCGAUAAACACACCGCCUGGGGAGUACGACCGCAAGGUUAAAACUCAAAUGAAUUGACGGGGACCCGCACAAGU